ensembl:lncRNA
UAAAGAGGGAGUUUACCUGCUGGUGGUGAUGGAGACCAGACUACAGAGGGAGUUUACCUGCUGGUGGUGAAGGAGACCAGACUACAGAGGUAAAGAGGGAGUUUACCUGCUGGUGGUGAAGGAGACCAGACUACAGAGGGAGUUUACCUGCUGGAGGUGAAGGAGACCAGACUACAGAGGGAGUUUACCUGCUGGUGGUGAAGGAGACCAGACUACAGAGGGAGUUUACCUGCUGGUGGUGAAGGAGACCAGACUAAAGAGGGAGUUUACCUGCUGGUGGUGAAGGAGACCAGACUACAGAGGUAAAGAGGGAGUUUACCUGCUGGUGGUGAAGGAGACCAGACUACAGAGGUAAAGAGGGAGUUUACCUGCUGGUGGGGAAGGAGACCAGACUACAGAGGGAGUUUACCUGCUGGUGGUGAAGGAGACCAGACUACAGAGGUAAAGAGGGAGUUUACCUGCUGGUGGUGAAGGAGACCAGA